UACGAAGGGGGCUAGCGUUGUUCGGAUUCAUUGGGCGUAAAGGGUGCGUAGGUGGCAUGGUAAGUCGGGUGUGAAAUCCCGGGGCUCAACCCCGGAACUGCACUCGAUACUGCCGUGCUCGAGUACUGGAGAGGAGACUGGAAUUUACGGUGUAGCAGUGAAAUGCGUAGAUAUCAGGAGGAACACCGGUGGCGAAGGCGGCUAUCUGGACAGAGUCUGACGCUGAGGCGCGAAAGCUAGGGGAGCAAACAGG
rnacentral:rRNA from 1 species